rnacentral:rRNA from 1 species
GUUUGAUCAUGGCUCAGGAUGAACGCUAGCGAUAGGCCUAACACAUGCAAGUCGAGGGGCAUCACAUGAAGUAGCAAUACGGAUGGUGGCGACCGGCGCACGGGUGAGUAACGCGUAUGCAAUCUACCUACAACAAGGGGAUAACCCGUUGAAAGACGGACUAAUACCCUAUAAUACAGGGGUCCCGCAUGGGAAUAUUUGUUAAAGAUUCAUCGGUUGUAGAUGAGCAUGCGUUCCAUUAGCUUGUUGGUGAGGUAACGGCCCACCAAGGCAACGAUGGAUAGGGGAACUGAGAGGUUUAUCCCCCACACUGGUACUGAGACACGGACCAGACUCCUACGGGAGGCAGCAGUGAGGAAUAUUGGUCAAUGGACGCAAGUCUGAACCAGCCACGUCGCGUGAAGGAAGACGGCCCUACGGGUUGUAAACUUCUUUGUAAGGGAAUAAAGUGAGUCACGCGUGACUUU